rnacentral:rRNA from 1 species
AUUGAACGCUGGCGGCAUGCCUUACACAUGCAAGUCGAACGGCAGCACGGGAGCAAUCCUGGUGGCGAGUGGCGAACGGGUGAGUAAUAUAUCGGAACGUGCCCAGUCGUGGGGGAUAACGCAGCGAAAGCUGUGCUAAUACCGCAUACGAUCUACGGAUGAAAGCGGGGGAUCGCAAGACCUCGCGCGAUUGGAGCGGCCGAUAUCAGAUUAGCUAGUUGGGGAGGUAAAGGCUCACCAAGGCGACGAUCUGUAGCUGGUCUGAGAGGACGACCAGCCACACUGGAACGGAGACACGGUCCAGACUCCUACGGGAGGCAGCAGUGGGGAAUUUUGGACAAUGGGCGAAAGCCUGAUCCAGCAAUGCCGCGUGCAGGAUGAAGGCCUUCGGGUUGUAAACUGCUUUUGUACGGAACGAAACGGUGAGCUCUAAUACAGUUUGCUAAUGACGGUACCGUAAGAAUAAGCACCGGCUAACUACGUGCCAGCCGCCGCCGUAA